CCUACGGGAGUCAGCAGUGGGGGAUAUUGCACAAUGGGGGAAACCCUGAUGCAGCGACGCCGCGUGGGUGAAGAAGCGCCUCGGCGCGUAAAGCCCUGUCAGCAGGGAAGAAAAUGACGGUACCUGAAGCAGAAGCCCCGGCUAACUACGUGCCAGCAGCCGCGGUAAUACGUAGGGGGCAAGCGUUAUCCGGAUUUACUGGGUGUAAGGGGGCGCAGGCGGCGAUGCAAGCCAGGAGGGAAAGCCCGGGGGCCAACCCCGGGACUGCUCUUUGAACUGCGUGGGUAGAGUGCAGGAGGGGCAGGCGGAAUUCCUGGUGUAGCGGUGAAAUGCGGAGAUAUCAGGAGGAACACCGGUGGCGAAGGCGGCCUGCUGGACUGCAACUGACGUUGAGGCCCGAAAGCGUGGGGAGCAAACAGGAUUAGAUACCCUGGUAGUC
rnacentral:rRNA from 1 species